ACACUGAUGGUGAAGUGGUUAUCAUGCUUGCCUUCCAUAGGAUUGAGUCCGUUGAGAAGCAAGCGGCAGGGGUUCGAUUCCCCUUCAGUGUA